UAAUAGUAUUUAAUAAUAUUAAUAGCUAAUAUGGUUAUAAAAUGAUUUUUUUAAAAUUUUGGGUGGUGUUGGCUUGCCUCUUGGGUCUGCCUUGAGAAUUUAAUCUGAAAAAAAUAAGAAUCGGUUGAUUUAAUUUUGUUUUCAGAAUUUUUAUUGCUAAAUGCAGAAUAGUUUUCAAAAAAUAAUGUUUGUUGAUAGUUUUAGUAACUUUUUUCAAGAGUUUUAAAAAUUAAUUUAUUUGUUUUAAAAAUUAUAUCUUUAAAUUCUGAAAAUUAUUUAAUAAAAAACGAAUAAUAAAUGAAAGUAAUGAAUGUUUUUGUUUUUGAAAAUGUUUUUUAAAAAACAUAUGCAAAAUUAACUCAAAUAUUUGAUGUGGGGUGAUGGGUAUUUGCAUUUGAAGGACAAAAAGGUGAAAUGAAUAAAAUAUUAAUAUUGCUCAGCUGAUCUCCCCGCGUUGGACGGGACAAUAUAAUGCAGCAUAUUAGGCCCAAAAUAGGCCCCGUUUUCUAAAUUAGGUCCACCAUUCAUUUUUAGGUGAAUGUAGGAGUGUAUGGUUUUGAGAGAGAUUAUGGGUGUUUUGUUUUGGAGAUAAGAAUGUCGAAUUUAAUAUAAAUCAUGUGAGGUUAAGUGUUGAGGUUACUAAUAUGGUGUUUGUUUUUGAGGUUGGAUAUGUAAUCGAUUUGUAAUUCAUUAAAUUUGCUGAAUUUAUAAUACUACUCACCUUUAUUAUUACAAA
rnacentral:lncRNA from 1 species